rnacentral:rRNA from 1 species
UACGAAGGGGGCUAGCGUUGCUCGGAAUGACUGGGCGUAAAGGGCGCGUAGGCGGAUUUUUAAGUGAGAUGUGAAAUACCCGGGCUCAACUUGGGUGCUGCAUUUCAAACUGGAAGUCUAGAGUGCAGGAGAGGAGAGUGGAAUUCCUAGUGUAGCGGUGAAAUGCGUAGAGAUUAGGAAGAACACCAGUGGCGAAGGCGGCGACCUGUCCGAGUACUGACGCUGAGGCGCGAAAGCGUGGGAGCAACAGGGAUUAAGAAACCC